rnacentral:rRNA from 1 species
AGAAUGAACGCUGGCGGCGUGCUUAACACAUGCAGGUCGAACGGAAUACAAGGGAGCUUGCUCCUGAACUAUUUAGUGGCGAACGGGUGAGUAUCACGUGAGCAACCUGCCCCGAAGAUUGGGAUAACACCGGGAAACCGGUGCUAAUACCGAAUACCCCUCACACAUCGCAUGAUGAGUGAAGGAAAUGUUUUUUCGCUUCGGGAGGGCUCGCGGUCCAUCAGCUUGUUGGCGGGGUAACGGCCCACCAAGGCUACGACGGAUAGC